UGUAGGUGGAAGCAGCGGUGGAGGAGGAGGAUGAGGUAGCCAACACUGUCUUUUAUAUAUAUAUAUAUAUAUAUAUAUAUAUAUAUAUAUAUAUGUAUUUUAAUUGGGGUAUCCCCCAAAAUAUUGGGAAAUAUAAAAAAAAGACAACUCUGUUCCGCAGAUUAGCUGUUGACAUAAUAGUUGCGCAGGCAACCUCGGGACAAUUGCACAUCCCCGUGACAGCGACUUUGCAUUCGGAUGUCAUCCAUAUCAACUUUCGAUGCCAGUUUCUGCACCUACUAUGGUGACCAAGGGUAACGGGGAAUCAGAGUUCCAUUCCGUACAGGGACCCUGAGAAACGGCUACCAUAUGCAAGGAAGGCAGCA